rnacentral:tRNA from 1 species
AGCGGGAGAGCACUGCCUUCACACGGCAGGGGUCACUGGUUCAAUCCCAGUAACGCCCA